UGAAAAGAGAGUUAAACAGUAUGUGAAAUUGUUAAAAGGGAACCGUUUGGAGCCAGACUGGCUUGAUCGUAAUCACUCUAGGCUUUGGCCUGGAUGCACUUGCGGUCUAUGCCGGCCAACGACAGUUUUGUUUGAGGGAAAAAAUUACAUUGAAUGUGGCCCUUCGGGGUGUUAUAGCUUUGUAAAAAAUACCUUGGACGGGACUGAGGAACGCAGCGAAUGCCUUUAGGCGAGAUUGCUGGGUGCUUGCGCUGAUACAUGCUAGAAUUUCUGCUUUGGGUGGUGCUAGUGUGUAAAGGAGUAACCCGCUUAGUAUAUUUUUUAUUCGCUUAGGUUGUUGGCUUAAUGACUCUAAAUGACCCGUCUUGAAACACGACCCAAGACGUCC
rnacentral:rRNA from 1 species